GGCGUAGCUGAUCUAGCCAUGCCGCGUGAGUGAUGAAGGUCUUAGGAUCGUAAAGCUCUUCUCUGCUAGGGAUGAUAAUGACAGUACCUAGUAAAGAAGCCCCGGCUAACUCCGUGCCAGCAGCCGCGGUAAUACGGAGGGGGCUAGCGUUGUUCGGAAUUACUGGGCGUAAAGCGUACGUAGGCGGAUCAGAAAGUAUGGGGUGAAAUCCCAGGGCUUAACCCUGGAACUGCCUCAUAAACUCCUGGUCUUGAGUUCGAGAGAGGUGAGUGGAAUUCCAAGUGUAGAGGUGAAAUUCGUAGAUAUUUGGAGGAACACCAGUGGCGAAGGCGGCUCACUGGCUCGAUACUGACGCUGAGGUACGAGAGUGUGGGGAGCAACAGAUUAGAUACUCUGGUAGUCCACACCGUAACGAUGAUGCCAGUCGUCAGGCAGUAUACUGUUCGUGACACACUACGAUAGCAUCGCUGGGAGUACGUCGCAGAUACACUCAAGAUGACGGGCCGCACAGCGUGAGCAUGUGAUAUCGAGCACGCGCAGAUCUACACCGUGACAUGCUGACAUCGAGAGAUCGACUCUCAGACAGUGACAGUGCUGCAUGCUGUCGUCAACUCGUGUCGUGAGAUGUCGUAR
rnacentral:rRNA from 1 species